rnacentral:rRNA from 1 species
UACGUAGGGUGCGAGCGUUAAUCGGAAUUACUGGGCGUAAAGGGUGCGCAGGCGGUUAUAUAAGACAGAUGUGAAAUCCCCGGGCUCAACCUGGGAACUGCGUUUGUGACUGUAUGACUAGAGUACGGUAGAGAGGGGUGGAAUUCCUGGUGUAGCAGUGAAAUGCGUAGAUAUCAGGAGGAACAUCGAUGGCGAAGGCAGCCCUUGGACCUGUACUGACGCUCAUGCACGAAAGCGUGGGGAGCAAACAGGAUAGAU